CAACCUGCAUGUUCUGCUGCAGUCCAUAUCGUCAGAGUGCACUUUCUAAUGUGUUAUGGUUUUCUUUCUUCUAAAACUCCUGCUUUUUAAUGUUUAUAAGGAAAUAACUGCAUCAAGAGCUUAUUUUAAAAAAGGAGUCUGGUGUGGCCUGAGGACUGAAGUUGGAGUCAUUCUAAUAAGCAGAUGCUGCAGUGAGAAGAGCUCUUACCUGCAAAAACCAAGUUUUAUUAGAACAGAAACAGGCAAUGAGUAAUACUUUGAAGAAGCUCACUUUUAAAGUACUCAUAAAAAGAAAACUCAAGGUGAAACAGAACAGGAAUAAAAGAUUUUGAAGACUUCUUCCCAAAGGAGCAAGUGAACACAAGAGGAGGAAGGAACUCUUUAUUGCUGGAUUUCAUCUCAGAUGCCUAUUCAUCUUCUAAUAUUGCUGUAAAUGCAGCUAUUGUAACUGUUACUUGACCACCUUGGGAAGGAUUUCCUCAUAAUGGCUUUUCUCUGCAACUUCUCCAAGGGAGAUAAUCUGUAUUUUGACUUUAUGUCCAGAUUUCUACAUCACAUAAAAUGAGGUCAUGAAUCGUUCAGAAUGUUUAUUCUACUUCUGUGGGAGACUGUUGCUUUCCCAUCCACGGACAUUCAGAAACUAUCAGCUAACAACCUCUGUGUCUCCUAAGUGAAGAGCCUUGAAAGAAAAUCAGGAAUCCUGAAAAUCUGAGUUUUAAAAGGAAGGUAAGAAAAUGGAUGCAAUCUGAAAAAGGAGAUAGAAAAAGAUGAAGAUGUGGCUAUUUAUAGAAAAGGAUCUACUGGAGAACCUGACUGUAAAAUUGACCCUGGGAAGUGUGAAGUGUAAAAGCUUAGGAAUGGGUAGUCUUUUCCCAUUCUCCAGGGAAAAAACCCAACUGAAAUAAUAGAAAUUACUUAAUCUUUCAUCUCAUCUUUCCAUCCCAGGGCAGACCAGGGGCACAUAUUCUUUCUCUUUCUAACCCAACAUGACGUUUUUAGAAUUACAAAAAUCUGAAACCCCUGUAAUCGAUAUAUUGGGUUCAUAUAGGGAUUUAUGAACCACAUAGAUGAGCUGGCAGGAAACAAUAUAUGCCCUUUGUUCUGAUGGAGGAUUUGUUGAAAAGGAGUUUGAAACUGAAAAGUUGUGGAUCUGAAAAAUCACCUUCCAAGUUUCCAGUGUGAUGUAAAUAGGACGUGCUUUUCAGCAUGACUGAGCAAAAGCCUAUGCCACUGCAUGAUCCUUUUUUCCUUGUGUUAAGUGCAAUCAAUAACAAGCUUGUAAAAAUGGCUGGUGACAGAAGUGUGAGGAGAACAUAUCAAUCAGUUUCUGAGUAUAAUGGCUCUAUGUUAUGAGAAAUUAAGUACAGUAAACCUCAAAAUCAUUUAAAUUAACUUGAUUCUUAUUGCUUCUCAAUACUAGGUUAAACCAUCAAUACAAUAGAAACAGCAUGCAAACUACAAUAAAAAAAAAAGUCUAUUUAAUAGACUUUUUUUUCUCUAGAAUUUCCACUGACACCUAUUCAAAAACAAAAGUUAUUUUUCAAACAAGCAGCAGGUAUAAGUGGUCUGGAAAUACCAAGAUAACAUCCACACAUUCCUGCAGGAAUUAUACUCAAACUUUUUGAAUGUAACUGGCUGCUAAGAAGCCUUUCAGGUUCCACAUACCUUGUGGUUCUUGUGGAAUAGUAGGUAUUUUGGACAUGUUUUGCACUAUGAGGUGCUGGUUCCUUAUGAUGCAAGUAAGAAAAGACUCUGUAAAGUAUCAUUCAAAAUGGUGGAGUUUUGAGCUAACACAACAGAGAAAGAAAAGCAUAGAUAAUUUUACAUCUUACAUACUGAGAACUCUGAAUAAGGCAGCAUUGAAUGGUUUAACUGUCAGGGCACAGCACACCAUGCAGACCCCAUCCAUAAAAAGCAUUAUCCAAUUUUGAUUAUUUGACCUCUUAUUGAAUUUUCUUACAAGAAAAUAACUCAGUGCAUCCCUUCUACUCUCAAGCAGAAAGGGCGUUUGUAUAAGAACUACUUGUUGCACUUUUAGAUAAAAGCAAGGAUACCAAGGUGAUGUAGCCAUCUAUAUACCAUGUGGGAGCAAGCUGCGCACUCCUUUUGUAACCACUGGCCAAGCUCAUCCUGAAGACAGGGGCUACAGAAUGACCAACACAGCCUGAGGGCCAUGGGCAGUGCAGCCCAGCCCAGCCCAGAGGUUCUCCCUGUUUUUUCUGGGUGGGUCAUUACUCCUUGAUGUACAAUGGUCACCCAGUCAGGAACAUUGCAACACUUUAGAGGCAAUCAUCAGACCCAAACAGAAGAUGUCAUGGGAAUGGAAGAGAGAGAUUUGUGUUCAUGACAAGAAGUUCAGCUGGUGAAGAAUUACAGGAAUUGCAUAUUUUUUGUUGUAGGUGAAUGAAUUGUCUAGUGGUUAGAAUAUAAUUUAUCAGGGAGGAACUCAAAUAAAAAAGAAAUUAAAGAUCUGCUUCACUCUAAUAUCUGGAUGUGAAAGCCUCUGAAAGGUCAAAACUUCCCAGUAUUUCUCUGUCCUAAAAUCUUGGUGAUUCUGUGACUCUGUAUUAUGAAAAUAUUCAUUGUAUUAAUAAUAGAGUGUGGAAUAAGAAAUG